AGAGUGAAGAUGAUCCUACUGGGACACCAGGCACCCCACUGAUGGCCUGGGUUGAUUUUACUGAUCGAAUCAGCUGAGUAGGUGUCUGCCUCCCUCCUCACCUUUCUACAUGUGUCCUUCUGGGGGCUGCAUGUCAAGUCAGAGAGAAGAAGAGUCUUCCCAGAUAGAACAUUGUUCUUUGACCAAAAGUGUGUGAUGACUUUGUCUGUUAUCUGGCAUUCUAAGAGAAUAUGGUGUUCUGG
ensembl:misc_RNA 7SK 7SK RNA